AUCUCUUUCUGGGGAUCUCUCCUUGAUGGAAGCUUUUCCCUGUGAAUCCAGAAUCUUCUGAUAAAGAUGAGCAUCAGAGACUGAUCUACCUGCACACCUUGUUAAGAGCUGAAUAAGAAUUCUAACUUACCACGCCUCAUGGCUUCUUGCUUCUGUACUGAUUCUUCCUGCUUCCUCAGAUUCUCUUCAUUAGCGAGUUGCUGGAGGCAGAGGUAACAGCAGAAGAUGCUUUCAAGUUUAAGAAUUCAAUCAACUAGAUACAGAGAGACACAAGGACAGUUUCUAAACAACUGCUCCUCGAAGCAUGGCACAUCAGAGGUAAGUCAUGAUGAAGUUAGCUUUGACUUUCAGUGAUGCCCUGGGAACUGCGGGAGUUCAGAAGCUAACUGAGGUACAGGAGUGACGCCUGCUUCCUGAGCCAGCCCCGUUCAAAGUCCAUGCUCUGGGGGGACAAGAAACGCGUGCAAUCCAGCAGUCCUAGCUACCUUCCCAAGGUACAUAAACAAUUAGAAUUCAUCAGUCCCCUACUUCCCUGUUCUCCACCAUGUGAGCUGUUAGAACAAAAGCUAGCUUACAUGUCCCUGAUGUCAUUAUUAUUGCCAAUUCAUUGACUCAUGCUAAAAUGAUAUCAGUAAAUACAACUACAAAUUAAGCUCAACAUCAUGCAGACAGGGUAGAAGACAGGCUCAGUGUGCACAGCCCCCAGUUAUGGCUGCCUGCCACUCCCUCACCACUAAAACAGACUUUUAAUGCCUUGUUUCCUUCCCUCUGCAGGAGGACACAGGUAAGGGCUCCCAUCAGGGGCUUCCCCCUCAUUCCCUUACUGCUUGAUGCUGUUUUGUUUCCUCGCUGAGUGUUUUUCGUCUCUCUUCUGCUUGUACCCGUAUCUGCUCAUUCUUCAGUUGUUCUAUGGCAGCUUCGUAUUCCUAUAGUGAGAUAAUGAUAUAGUUAUCACAAAUGAGCUCAAUACGUAACCUUACAAAGAAAAGAUAGUGGCAGUUAUGUUCCAAAUGAUGUAUUUGUAAUCACUUCACACUUCCCUGCACAUAACCCUUGUUACUCCCUAAAAAAUGAUGGUGACAACGGGGGAGUUACAAAACCACUUGUGACAUAGAAGUUGCAAAAAACCAAACUAUGCCACACAGCAGAGAUAUUAUCUGCACCUCACCUUCCAGAAUCAGAGGGGAUGCUCCAAAAGUAAUGCCUCCUGUUUUAUGAUGUUGGCCAUAUGGCAGCAGAGGCUGAACCCUCCCACCACUGCUCUGUUACAUUUUGUUGCCAUGUGACAGAU